GUCCCCUCACCAUGGCAGCUCCCGGCGGGCUGGGCCGCUGCGUGGCCGCCUUCUGGCUGGCACUGGCUUUCGACGCGCUGGGCCUGGUCGUGCUGUUGACCGGGGUCUUCGCCAACCUCUUCUUCUCGGACCUGCUGAUUUACGCGGGCGGCAUCGGCAUCUUCCUCAGCCUCAUCUGGUGGGUGUUCUGGUACGCGGGCAACCUGGAGGUGCCGCCCGCCGAGCUGUGCGACGACGUGGGGCUGGGCCCGCCCAAGGACCGCGGGGACAGCCUGCUGCGGGGGCUAGUGAGGGGGCUGAGCACCCGCAUCUCCGCCGUCUUCUCCUCGGCUCCUCGCUCCAGUCCCCCGGCUCCCGCGCCCGCCACCGUGGAGCUCCAGCCCGCUGCCAGCCCUGCCCGCACCCAGCCCGCCUGAGACUGAGCUCCGCGCCGCCAGCAUCUACUGAAGACAUGACUACUGAUAUUACUGCCACUUAGGAAAAAAACUGUUGUUGUGGUAUGUUGGGAAAACUGGAAAGAAGAUUUCCCUGUUGAAGAGGAUUCUUUAUGUAUGGAAUAAUUUCUACUACCUUACCGGAAUCUAUACUAAACAGACUUACAGAGCCAUCUCUCUGCCAAAUGUACAUAUUUCAGUGUUGGACUAGAGAAUUUUAAUUGUAUUUAUUGACAGCAUUUCAAGCCAUAUGAAAGAUUCCUCUGUUUUUUAAAAUUAAGUUAUAUUAAAUUUCUCAUGCGAAAACUAAUUGGUUUACACUUUUAAUAAAAUCU